UCCUCUGUACUGUAACGGCAACAUACCUAUUCUUAUCCAACAUAUUCUUAGAAGAGAUUCCCGGUUCAAAUCCGGGCAGAGGGA